rnacentral:rRNA from 1 species
GUACACGCUGUGACUAGCAUAUCAAUAAGCGGAGGAAAAGAAACUAACAAGGAUUCCCCUAGUAACGGCGAGUGAAGCGGGAAGAGCUCAAAUUUGAAAUCUUAAAGGGUUUCCCUUUACGAAUUGUAGUUUAAAGAAGUGUUUUCUGUUGAGGUUUUGGUAAAAGUUCUUUGGAAUAGGACAUCAUAGAGGGUGAGAAUCCCGUAUUUGACCUUUACUUUCAACUUUGUGAUACACUUUCAAAGAGUCGGAUUGUUUGGGAAUGCAGUCCAAAAUGGGUGGUAAAUUUCAUCUAAAGCUAAAUAUUGGCGAGAGACCGAUAGCGAACAAGUACCGUGAGGGAAAGAUGAAAAGAACUUUGAAAAGAGAGUUAAACAGUACGUGAAAUCGUCAAAAGGGAAGCGUUUGACACCAGUGUUGUUUUUCUGAAAAUCAAUUAAAGAACUGUUUAUGCUAAGCUGUUUAGACUUUAUCAGCUAAUCUGUUUAGUUUUGAGCUUUUCUUUAAUGCACUUUUCAGUUAACAAGUCAACAUCAAUUUCUUUUGCUGUAAAAAAGCUUGAGGAAGGUGGCUUGAGAUUCGUCUUAAGUGUUUAUAGCCUCUUGCCUAUGCAGUCGGAGAGAUUGAGGUCUGCAGCGUAGAUCCUUCGGGGCUAAAUGCAUUUGUGCUAAGUUAUAGCAUUUUAUAGACAACUUGUUGACUAUGAUUUGUCUUGUAGCUUACUCGCUUAUGUUAUUUUACCUACGCUUAGGAUGUUGAAGAUGUAGCACAUCAU